UACGGAGGGGGCUAGCGUUACUCGGAUUGACUGGGCGUAAAGGGCGCGUAGGCGGAUGGUACAGUCAGACGUGAAAUUCCUGGGCUCAACCUGGGGGCUGCGUUUGAUACGUGCUGUCUGGAGUUCGGAAGAGGGUCGUGGAAUUCCCAGUGUAGGGGUGAAAUUCGUAGAUAUUGGGAAGAACACCGGUGGCGAAGGCGGCGACCUGGUCCGAUACUGACGCUGAGGCGCGAAAGCGUGGGGAGCAAACAGG
rnacentral:rRNA from 1 species